UGACGGGAUCACACUAUGGCCUGGGCCCCUCCUCUCCUGGCAGUGCUCACCACAGCUCAGGUUCCCUGGUCCAGGCAGCAGUGACUGAGCAGCCAUCCUUGCUGUCUGCCAAGUGAGAGAGACGGGAGACACGGUCAGGAUCACCUGCUCUGGGCUUAGCAGCAGCUAUCCUUAUGCUGGCUGGUUCCAGCAGAAGGUCCCUGGCAGUGGCCCUGUCACUGUGAUCUAUACUAAUGACAAGAGACCCUCGGGCAUCCCUUCGCGAUUCUCCGGAUCCUUGCGAGUCUCCAGAUCCUUGUCCAGCUCCAUGAACACGUUAACCAUCACUGAGGUCCAAGCCAAGGACGAGGCUGUCUAUUUCUGUGGUAGUGCUGACAGCAGCAGUGGCAGCUAUGGUCUAUGGUGACAAUGAGUACCAGGA